rnacentral:rRNA from 1 species
CACGUAGUUAGCCGGUGCUUCUUCUGCAGGUACCGUCACUUGCGCUUCUUCCCUGCUGAAAGAGGUUUACAACCCGAAGGCCUUCAUCCCUCACGCGGCGUCGCUGCGUCAGGCUUCCGCCCAUUGCGCAAUAUUCCCCACUGCUGCCUCCCGUAGGAGUCUGGGCCGUGUCUCAGUCCCAGUGUGGCCGGUCACCCUCUCAGGCCGGCUACCCGUCGUCGCCUUGGUAGGCCAUCACCCCACCAACAAGCUGAUAGGCCGCGAGCCCAUCCCCGACCGAAAAACUUUCCACACCACCCCAUGCGAGGCGAUGUCAUAUCCGGUAUUAAUCCCGGUUUCCCGAGGCUAUCCCAGAGUCAGGGGCAGGUUGCUCACGUGUUACUCACCCGUUCGCCGCUGAUCCCCCGAAGGGUUCACCGCUCGACUUGCAUGUGUUAAGCACGCCGCCAGCGUUCGUCCUGAGCCAGAUCAAACUCU